CCUUCGGUAGCUCAGAUGGUAGAGCGGAGGACUGUAGAUCCUUAGGUCACUGGUUCGAUUCCGGUCCGAAGGA